AUUGAACGCUGGCGGCAUGCCUUACACAUGCAAGUCGAACGGCAGCGCGGGGCAACCUGGCGGCGAGUGGCGAACGGGUGAGUAACAUAUCGGAACAUACCCUAGAGUGGGGAUAACGUAGCGAAAGUUACGCUAAUACCGCAUACGCACUAAGGUGGAAAGUGGGGGAUCUUCGGACCUCAUGCUCAUGGAGUGGCCGAUAUCUGAUUAGCUAGUUGGUGAGGUAAAGGCUCACCAAGGCGACGAUCAGUAGCUGGUUUGAGAGAACGACCAGCCACACUGGAACUGAGACACGGUCCAGACUCCUACGGGAGGCAGCAGUGGGGAAUAUUGGACAAUGGGGCGAACCCUACGAUCCAGCCAUGCCGCGUGUGUGAGAAGG
rnacentral:rRNA from 1 species